UAUCAAAAUUACUAGGUGCCGCCUGCCCAGUGAAAUUUUAACGGCCGCUCUUGUGCUAAGGUAGCAUAAUAACUUGCCUUUUAAUUGGAGGCUUGCAUGAAUGGACCUUUAAGUUAAAUCUUUAUUCCCGCCAACCGUAUAACUUAAGUAUUAUGUGCAAACUCAUAAUUUAUUAUAAAAGACCAAAAGACCCCGGGAACUUCAAUUUGACUCUUUCCAAAAAAAUACAAAUUUACACCGGGAGAGUGAAGGAUAUACAUCCUAAUCUUAUAAUUAUUUGCCUUAAAAAUUUAUACUAAAGCUACCCCGGGGAUAACAGGCUACUCUUUUUUAAAAGUUCAAAUUAACAAAAAGAUCUAGCACCUCGAUGUUGGCUUAAGAGUACAUAAGAUGUAGCAGUUUUAUUUAAUGGCUUGUUCCGCCAAUAGUUUCUUACGUGAUC
rnacentral:rRNA from 1 species